UGGGCAGUAGGCAAUAGAUAGCAUCAGGGU
rnacentral:piRNA from 1 species